rnacentral:rRNA from 1 species
UGGGGAAUAUUGGACAAUGGGCGAAAGCCUGAUCCAGCCAUGCCGCGUGUGUGAAGAAGGUCUUCGGAUUGUAAAGCACUUUAAGUUGGGAGGAAGGGCAGUAAGCGAAUACCUUGCUGUUUUGACGUUACCGACAGAAUAAGCACCGGCUAACUCUGUGCCAGCAGCCGCGGAAAUACAGAGGGUGCAAGCGUUAAUCGGAAUUACUGGGCGUAAAGCGCGCGUAGGUGGUUCGUUAAGUUGAAUGUGAAAGCCCCGGGCUCAACCUGGGAACUGCAUCCAAAACUGGCGAGCUAGAGUAGGGCAGAGGGUGGUGGAAUUUCCUGUGUAGCGGUGAAAUGCGUAGAUAUAGGAAGGAACACCAGUGGCGAAGGCGACCACCUGGGCUCAUACUGACACUGAGGUGCGAAAGCGUGGGGAGCAAACAGG